AUGUACUGCAAUAGCUCUCUUCAAAUCAAAGUGAUAUCAUCAGUGUCUGGACUGAAGACUAAAGUGUCGGAAAACAGAUCUGCAACUUACUAAGUGGUACAACACAAGAACCUGAUGUUUGGUCUUGCACUUGUAAUCACAUGGACUUUUUCAAAGUGUUGUGGGAGGUGGGCAGCAGCAGCACAGGUGACCGCCACGAGUUUGCAGCAUUUAUUGUGGCAGCGCGGUGUGUCAGGCCCUCCAAGGUGGACUUUGAUGAAGCAUAGGACUACUCUGGGAGCAGCGUGUGUCCGGGAUCGAGCAGAGUGGAAAAUGAGGUAACGCAAAUCCUCUAACUGGACAGCAAGGACAAGCGGAAUGAUCACACAUGUGCAUUGUGGUCACCAAACCCAGUCUCCAAAUGCCAGCACCAGGCUGCCCUUGACCUGUCAGCGCUUGGAUCCUCGGCAACCUUCAAAUUAAUGAAAGAAGUCAUGGACUUAGUAGAUACAGCUGUUCCAGAAGCAAUGUCCAUGUGAGGGCUUCAAACAACUGUUACCCGCCUCAUGCCUUCCCCUUGCCUCAUCUGAAGUCUCACAAACCGCUGGAGUACAGUCAUUCCACCACAGAGUCUUUUACCAACAGAGAAGAAGUUAGGCAUUACUGUCUCUGCCAAGGUCCAGGAUGUUAAGUCUUGUAUGUUAUGUUUAGCCACAGAGAAACAAGCUGGUUGCAUUGGACUUAAUAGCAACCACCAAUCCAAAACAAGACUGAAACAAGAUAAAAGAGGUCAAGCAAACACUACAAG